GCUUUCGUAGCUCAGUUGGUUAGAGCUUCGUACUAAUACUUGCCUCUACGGCUAGCAUUGGUGAUGCGAAGGUCGCAAGUUCAAGCCUUGUCGGAAGCA
rnacentral:tRNA from 1 species